ACUUAUCUUUUCCUUUACUUUUAUGUGUCGCGCAAAAAAGCGAUUUUAGCGUUCUAAUUUUACUCUCUUAGAAUUUGUAUCGGGGCUGAAGAGGACCCUAGUUGGUCCUAAAACGGCCUAAGGUAGAGGGAUUUUAGUCGAUAGGUCCGAGAAGUUCUUCCUCGGGAAUCCGACACUACCCAGUCGUACGGACGGCUGGGUGUCUUUUGAAGAUUUCCCCUCUUUCACGAAA
rfam:Agrilus planipennis Contig12822, whole genome shotgun sequence.